AUGACAAGUGCUCCUCCAGUUGUGAGAUGAGCCAGAGGAUGGAAUGCCACAGGCCCCACUUCGUCUCCCAGCCCUUCAUCUUUCUUCCAUGUCCAAAGGCGGCUCCCCAGAGGCCAAGGGCUCAGCUCUUGUGUUCUCUGAGACUGUGGCACAGCUCACCCUGGCUUCCUUAGUAGGAAGCUUUUAAGAACUGCUCUGUAGAAAGAACAAACCCUAAUCUAGCUCCAGCAAAGAGCCAGGAUCAUGCUGAACUUCCUGUGAGCCUUCGUGGGGGAUCGAGGCUGGAGAAAGUGCUGCUUCAUUCUGAGGUCUGAAUUUCCUGCUGCUGUUCACAAAGAUGCUUUUUAUCUUUAACUUUUUGUUUUCCCCACUUCCGACCCCGGCGUUGAUCUGCAUCCUGACAUUUGGAGCUGCCAUCUUCUUCUGGCUGAUCACCAGACCUCAACCCGUCUUACCUCUUCUUGAUCUGAACAAUCAGUCUGUGGGAAUUGAGGGAGGAGCACGGAAGGGGGUUUCCCAGAAGAACAAUGACCUAACAAGUUGCUGCUUCUCAGAUGCCAAGACUAUGUAUGAGGUUUUCCAAAGAGGACUCGCUGUGUCUGACAAUGGGCCCUGCUUGGGAUAUAGAAAACCAAACCAGCCCUACAGAUGGCUAUCUUACAAACAGGUGUCUGAUAGAGCAGAGUACCUGGGUUCCUGUCUCUUGCAUAAAGGUUAUAAAUCAUCACCAGACCAGUUUGUCGGCAUCUUUGCUCAGAAUAGGCCAGAGUGGAUCAUCUCCGAAUUGGCUUGUUACACGUACUCUAUGGUAGCUGUACCUCUGUAUGACACCUUGGGACCAGAAGCCAUCGUACAUAUUGUCAACAAGG
rnacentral:sRNA from 1 species